UACAGAGGGUGCGAGCGUUGUCCGGAAUCACUGGGCGUAAAGGGCGCGUAGGCGGCUUUGCAAGCGUGCGGUGAAAGCUCGGGGCUUAACUCCGAGUCUGCCGUGCGAACUGUGAGGCUUGAGUCUGGUAGAGGUCGAUGGAAUUCCGGGUGUAGCGGUGGAAUGCGUAGAGAUCCGGAAGAACACCAGUGGCGAAGGCGGCUCACUGGUCCGGUACUGACGCUGAGGUGCGAAAGCGUGGGGAGCAAACAGG
rnacentral:rRNA from 1 species